AGGCAGGUAGCCUAUUGGUUAGAGUGUAGAGGAGGCAGGUAGCCUAUUGGUUAGAGUGUAGAGGAGGCAGGUAGCCUAUUGGUCAGAGUGUAGAGGAGGCAGGUAGCCUAUUGGUUAGAGUGUAGUGGAGGCAGGUAGCCUAUUGGUCAGAGUGUAGAGGACUCAGGUAGCCUAUUGGUUAGAGUGUAGAGGAGGCAGGUAGCCUAUUGGUUAGAGCGUUGGGCCAUUAACCGAAAAGGUUUGCUCGAUCGAAUUCCUGAGCUGACAAAGUAAAAAUCUGUCUUUCUAUCACUGAGCAAGGCAGUGAACCCACUGUUCCACUGAACCCACUGUUCCACUGAACCCACUGUUCCACUGAACCCACUGUUCCACUGAACCCACUGUUCCACUGAACCCACUGUUCCACUGAACCCACUGUUUCACUGGCGCCAAAGACGUGGAUGUUGAUUAAGGCAGCCCCCCCCCCCCCACCUCUCUGAUUCAGAGGGGUUGGGUUAAAUGUUGAAGACACAUUUCAGUUGAAUGCAUUCAGUUGUACAAGUAAUGUUGUAGCCAAGGGAGAACCUGGCGACUGUCAGCACCGUUAAUAGGAGCGUGAGAACAGGGCGGUGUCUUGGGGGGGACGGGGGCAGAUAGAACACUCUGGUGCCUUCGGCCCCUACGAUGUAAUGAAUACCGGUGAUCCCCGGAAACCCAGGAGCCGCUGUUUGGCCUCAGAGAUCAUUCCCCCCAAAUCCUCUACCGGCCGAAACAAAACAACUGACAUUAUGGGGAGGGUUAAGUGGAGGAAGAACAGACAUUAUGGGGAGGGUUAAGUGGGGGAAGAACAGACAUAAUGGGGAGGGUUAAGUGGAGGAAGAACAGACAUUAUGGGGAGGGUUAAGUGGAGGAAGAACAGACAUUAUGGGGAGGGUUAAGUGGGGGA